UGGGGAAUAUUGGACAAUGGGCGAAAGCCUGAUCCAGCCAUGCCGCGUGUGUGAAGAAGGUCUUCGGAUUGUAAAGCACUUUAAGUUGGGAGGAAGGGUACUUACCUAAUACGUGAGUAUUUUGACGUUACCGACAGAAUAAGCACCGGCUAACUCUGUGCCAGCAGCCGCGGUAAUACAGUGGGUGCAAGCGUUAAUCGGAAUUACUGGGCGUAAAGCGCGCGUAGGUGGUUUGUUAAGUUGGAUGUGAAAUCCCCGGGCUCGACCUGGGAACUGCAUCCAAAGCUGGCAAGCUAGAGUAUGGUAGAGGGUAGUGGAAUUUCCUGUGUAGCGGUGAAAUGCGUAGAUAUAGGAAGGAACACCAGUGGCGAAAGCGACUACCUGGACUGAUACUGACACUGAGGUGCGAAAGCGUGGGGAGCAAACA
rnacentral:rRNA from 1 species